GAUCCUGGCUCAGGAUGAACGCUAGCUACAGGCUUAACACAUGCAAGUCGAGGGGCAGCAUGGUCUUAGCUUGCUAAGGCCGAUGGCGACCGGCGCACGGGUGAGUAACGCGUAUCCAACCGUGCCUUACACUCUUGGACAGCCUUCUGAAAGGGAGAUUAAUACAAGAUGUUAUCAUGAGUAAGCAUUUUCGACAUGAUUAAAGGUUUACCGGUGUAAGAUGGGGAUGCGUU
rnacentral:rRNA from 1 species